GAUGAAGAACGUAGCGAAAUGCGAUAAUUAAUGUGAAUUGCAGAAUUUAGUGAACCAUCGAGUCUUUGAACGCAAGUUGCGCCCGAAGCCAUUAGGCCGAGGGCACGCCUGCCUGGGCGUCACACGUCGUUGCCCCCCCAUCUACUCCUUCGGGAUUGCGGGGGGCGGAUGAUGGCCUCCCGUGCGCCUCGUCGCGCGGUUGGCAUAAAUGCCAAGUCCUCGGCGACGCACGCCACGACAAUCGGUGGUUGCGAAACCUCGGUUGCCCGUCGUGUGCGGUCGUCGCGCAUCGAGGGCUCGAAAAAAUUGCCGGGCUCCGGCUCGGCUUUCAACGCGACCCCAGGUCAGGCGGGGUUACCCGCUGAAUUUAAGCAUAUCAAUAAGCGGAGGA
rnacentral:misc_RNA from 1 species